rnacentral:rRNA from 1 species
GGAUUAGAUACCCUGGUAGUCCACGCCCUAAACGAUGUCGACUAGUUGUUGGGGAGGGAAACUUCCUUAGUAACGCAGCUAACGCGUGAAGUCGACCGCCUGGGGAGUACGGCCGCAAGGUUAAAACUCAAAGGAAUUGACGGGGACCCGCACAAGCGGUGGAUGAUGUGGAUUAAUUCGAUGCAACGCGAAAAACCUUACCUACCCUUGACAUGGCAGGAACCCGGCUGAGAGGCUGGGGUGCCCGAAAGGGAGCCUGUGCACAGGUGCUGCAUGGCUGUCGUCAGCUCGUGUUG